rnacentral:rRNA from 1 species
AACUUAAGCAUAUCAAUAAGCGGAGGAAAAGAAACCAACAGGGAUUGCCCCAGUAACGGCGAGUGAAGCGGCAACAGCUCAAAUUUGAAAUCUGGCCCUUACGGGUCCGAGUUGUAAUUUGUAGAGGAUGCUUUUGGCAAGGCGCCGCCCGAGUUCCCUGGAACGGGACGCCACAGAGGGUGAGAGCCCCGUCUGGCUGGCCGCCGAGCCUCUGUAAAGCUCCUUCGACGAGUCGAGUAGUUUGGGAAUGCUGCUCAAAAUGGGAGGUAUAUGUCUUCUAAAGCUAAAUAUUGGCCAGAGACCGAUAGCGCACAAGUAGAGUGAUCGAAAGAUGAAAAGCACCUUGAAAAGAGGGUUAAAUAGUACGUGAAAUUGUUGAAAGGGAAGCGCUUGUGACCAGACUUGGGCGCGGCGGAUCAUCCGGGGUUCUCCCCGGUGCACUUCGCCGUGUCCAGGCCAGCAUCAGUUCGUCGCGGGGGAAAAAGGCUUCGGGAACGUGGCUCCCCUGGGAGUGUUAUAGCCCGUUGCAUAAUACCCUGCGGUGGACU